CUUCGGGACUCUGACACAGGUGCUGCAUGGCUGUCGUCAGCUCGUGUCGUGAGAUGUUGGGUUAAGUCCCGUAACGAGCGCAACCCUUGCCCUUAGUUGCCAGCACGUAAUGUGGGGAACUCUAAGGGAACUGCCGGUGACAAACCGAAGGAAGGGGGGAAUGACGUCAAGUCAUCAUGGCCCUUACGACCUGGGCUACACACGUGCUACAAUGGCCGGUACAAAGGGUGGCCAAGCCGCAAGGGGAAGCUAAA
rnacentral:rRNA from 1 species